CAGAGCUUCAGGCAGAGGCCCAGUUGAUCUGCCUUGUAAAUCAGCCUCCGCCCCCACCCGAAGUGGGGGCUGCUACGGCUGUUUCUGCCCAAGGGGCUGGGCUCCCCUCCUGGGAGUCCCUCCCCACCCCCUGCCUCAGCACUUCCUGCUCUGGGCUUCCCUCUCUGGGCUGCUGUGAAUGGAGGGGCAGGCUAUGAGUUUUGGAAGUGUUGGAACUAGGAUCCCUGUCACAAAGGUAGUCGUCUUUGCUCAGAUUUACCCCAGUGGCUGGACGAAAGUGAUAUAUCAUGAAGGACAGUGGGAGAUGCCGUUACUGAGCCUCGGGCUGAGGGCCCUAGGGAAACCACGGCCUCUUGGUUGUGUGACUAGCAGGAAGCUAGUCAUUAUGGGAAUAUUUGGAGAGAAUUGGGACCAAAUGCAACCUUCUCUGCUGGAGCAACAGCCCAAACCCACAAGAUGGACGCCUCCCCAAUCCCUAGACUUCCUUGCUCUUCAUCUGCAUUUGCUGCGGCUCCUGUGCCUGAACAGACACUCAGGGGAUCAUCUCAGGUCUUCAAGUAGCAGCAGCUUUACCUGCUCAGCCGUCACCAUGGCCCUGUUAGCAUACUUUGAUGGUACCAAAAAAUGGAUUUUAAGGUGACAUUUUCACACAUGUCGUUACUAUACUUUGAUGGUGUUUAGCCUCCAUUGUCCUCUCUUGCUCCGUCUCUCCUCUCCUGUUGGUCUCCUUCCUCCUCUUCCACUUUCCUUUCUUUUUUAAAAAUCUAGAUCCCUGUGAUGGGUAAUUUUGGUUGUUAACUUGACUACAUCUGGUAUUAACUAAAACCAAGCUGUUGGGCUUGUGGUUCGGGGAUGCUCUAAAUCAGAUCAUUUGGAGUAGGAAGACCCACUCUAAAUCUGGGCCACACCUGCUGAUGGCAGCCCACAUAAGAGACCGUGGAGAAGGAAGCACUGCUUCUUGCCUGCUUGCUCUCACUCUUGCUGGCAAAUCCAUCUAUCCUGCUGCUGCACCAGUCCUUCACCAACUUUAGAACCAGCAUCUCCGGCAUUUCAACGUGACUGAAUACCAGCAGCUCCCUCAGGACUCCUUUAGACCAUCAGAGACAGAUCAUGACUGCAAGGAUUCUAGCCUGUAGACUGAACUAGAUUCACAGCCUCUACAACAUGAGGCAGCCAUUGCUGCUUGGACUCCCUGGACCAAAUCCUGUAAGACAA
ensembl:lncRNA LOC102548045 uncharacterized LOC102548045